AAAUUCAUUGACACCGUUGGCUUCCAUCCAAUGAAGUUUUGAAAUCUCAAAAUUUUCAAUUGUCUUACUUCCAAGUUUUUCCUUUUAUCUUCCUCACACAUUGAAGAAACUCUAACAAAAGAAUGAUGUAUUGUUAGCCUCUCUAUGUUACUCCGAACACCAACAAUGAAUAGAAAGGGCAAUAAAAAAAAGAAAGUCAUGAAUCAAUUAGGCAAUCUUAAAGCAGGAUGACAGUCGCAAUUCCAUUACAGAUUGGUUGGUUAUCAUCUGAUUGAUAUAAAGCAUCUACCUGACUUUAUAGUUAAACGAUAGCAAAGCAAUGGGCUUUUUAAGUUGCUUUUUAUGGUCAAGUAAAUUUUCCAGACCUGCAAUUGCAAUGCACUUCAUAUGUGCUCAAGAUCCUAGUAUCAUGUUGACUUCAUAGCCAAACUCUAGUGGCACAAGCAAUGAGAAACCAGAAGUUAGGGGGAUCGGGGUAGGUACGGUAAGCUUAGGUUUGGUUAGAUAAUGAUGAUGUAUUUCAUCUACAAUUUGAUAUACACUUACAAAUGUAGUUGUAUUUAUACAUUGAUUUGGUGUAAACAAAUAAAAUUUAUGGAUACAACAAAGUUAUAUAAA